rnacentral:rRNA from 1 species
GAGAGGAGCUGUCCUUAGUACGAGAGGACCGGGAUGGACAUACCUCUGGUGUACCAGUUGUCGUGCCAACGGCAUAGCUGGGUAGCUAUGUAUGGACGGGAUAAGUGCUGAAAGCAUCUAAGCAUGAAGCCCCCCUCGAGAUGAGAUUUCCCAACUUCGGUUAUAAGAUCCCUCAAAGACGAUGAGGUGAAUAGGUUCGAGGUGGAAGCGUAGCGAUACGUGGAGCUGACGAAUACUAAUCGAUCGAAGACUUAAUCAACAU